rnacentral:rRNA from 1 species
CACGUAGGGGGCGAGCGUUGUCCGGAAUUAUUGGGCGUAAAGGGCUCGUAGGCGGUUUGUCGCGUCGGGAGUGAAAUCCACUGGCUUAACUGGUGGCUUGCUUUCGAUACGGGCAGACUGGAGGCAUGCAGGGGAGAACGGAAUUCCUGGUGUAGCGGUGAAAUGCGCAGAUAUCAGGAGGAACACCGAUGGCGAAGGCAGGUCUCUGGGCCACUACUGACGCUGAGAAGCGAAAGCGUGGGGAGCGAACAGG